AUAUUUUGGCAUACAAGUUAUACUUUGUCGAGAUCAUGGACUCAGUUAUCAAGGACAAGACUACUGCACGUACAACCGCUUGCAUCAGGGACCAGUCAAUGGUCCUCUUCACAGUCAAGACACAGCAGUGGUCCGACUUUGCCAGUAGCUUUCAGGCAGUAUCGAAGAGACGUACCUCGACAUAAAUUCUCUACCACAACACACGUCUGCAGCGAUUCUAUUGGGAAGAUUCAUUCAACUCAUUACCACUUGGUUUACACAUGCAAGGUGUGCUCAACCAGGUCAACGAAGAGGAUAUCCAAGGUAGCCUAUCAUAAAGGUGUUGUCCUAGUGACCUGCCCAGGAUGUGAAAAACACCACAUUAUUGCUGACAACUUGGGUUGGUUCUCUGAUCUGAAGGGAAAGAGGAACAUUGAGGAAAUCCUUGCAGCGAGAGGA